CUGCGGGACCUGUGUUGACCCUCCCAGUCUUCCAGCAGCUGUCCCACACUGCCCCAUUCACUGUUACACAGACUGUGCUAGUCAGAUUUUUGAACGCUGCUCAAGGCUCACCAACCAGAAACCACCCUUCUGCCUUUACAACCUCCCUUGUGUUUUUGAAAUGCCUUUUCCUGAUUGCCCACCUUGACAAGCAUACCUAACAGCCAGGGGUGAAAGUAACAAAACUCUUACCUGGACAAGGGCCUGGCUCUGGGCCCCUGGAAGGGGCAGAGCUGAGGGGUCAGCCUCCGUCAGCUAGCCCUACUGUGCUGCCUGUGGCUCCUGCCACUGCUGCGGGAGCCCUAGGUCCUUUUAAAUCACCAGGCCCCAGAGUAGCUGCCUGUUUUGUCCCCUCCUCUCAGCAGCCCUCCCAGGAGUGUCCUUAAAACACAGCUGCAUCAGCGCUUUAACAUUGGCUAUGUACAGGCCUGUACCAGCAGCCACUUCUUACUGGCACGCUGUAUUGGCCCACUUUCACCUCUGCUAGCAGCUCACCUUUGUUGUGUGCAACCACCCAGCUGACCAUGGCAGCGCCGUGCACUAGUUAUGCUCCUGCCUGAAUCAGACAGGAACUAGUGGUUCUGUGCAUUCACAGCUACAGGCCACCGGUAGAAACUUUAACAUUUUACACAUGAGCAGAUUACACAGGCAAAGGGGUAUGACAGGAAUCAGGAGAAGUGCAGUGUGAAAACAAAGGCCGUACAUCAGGGAAACCACAAGGUGAGGGAGCACAACAGUAGAUCUGGGUGCUUCACCACAGACUUCCUGUUUCUGCAAGGAACUACAUGCCAUGCUUUGCAGAGACCCCCACCAGCAUGCUCCAGACCACUGGAUACCUGAAGGACCCUGAAACAAAGACCUCUGCCUUGAACAGCAGGAAGGAGGGAGAUGUGGUGAAGGAUUCCAGUCAUGGAAGCCAGGAGCUAUUUGAGACUGCCACAGUCUAUCCAGUGUCACCAGUCAAAUGUGGAUGAGCCUGAUGAAGGGGAAGGGAACUUGGCAAACUGCAAAGAAAUCUACACAUUCCCCAUUGUUGCAGUACUUCCUGUGGGUCUGUAAAUACAGGAGAAUCAUGCAUCCUGUAUUUGCAAUAUUCAUGAGAACAGUGCUGAACUCUGCAGGCUCCAUGCUUCUGUCAGAGAUGGGAGACAAUGAAAAGUGCUAUGGAGAGGUAUUAAUGGGCCACUCAGCAGUUCUGGCUGGGGGCCCUACCACUACCCCAUCCCUGUCCAUGGACACUUGCAAGAGGGGAGUCUCAUGCAACGGGGAUGAGGAUUUUGGGGAUGAGGAAGAUGAGGAGGAGAAUAGUGCACAGCAAGCAAGUGGAGAAACCAUUCUCCCCGAUUGCCAGUAACUGUUUAUCACCCUGGAGCCAAUACCCUCCCAACCCUCCCAAAGUGGGCUCACGGACCAUGAAGCUGGAGAAGGCACCUCUGCUGCAACUGUUUCAAUGCUCCCCCUAUCAUCUCCAUCCCAGAGGCUAGCACAGAUAAGAAGGUGAAAAAAAACGCACUCAUGAUGAAAUGUUCUCUGAGCUCAUGCAGUCCUCCUGCACUGAAACUGCUCAGCAGAAUGCUUGGAGGCAAACAAUGUCAGAGUCUAGGAAAGCAGAAAAUAAACGCGAAGGCAGGAGGGAUGAAUGAGAUGAGAGGUGGCAGGAGCAGGAAGACAGGUGGCAGGAGCAGGAAGAGAGAUGGCAGCAGUGCGAUGAGUGAAGACUGGAUGCAAUGCUGAGGUUACUGGGGGAUCAGACUAAUAUGCUCUGGCCUCUGGUGGAACUGCAGGAAAGGCAGCAGGAGCACAGACCGCUGCUGCUGCCCACCCUUUUCCCCAAAUUCCAUAGCCUCACCCAGAUGCCCAAGAACCCGGGGCAGGGAGGCCCUCCAGGCACACAACCACUCCACCCCAGAGGACUGCCCAAGCAACAGAAGGCUGGCAUUCAAUAAGUUUUAAAGUGCAGUGUGGCCUUGUUCUUCCCUCCUUCCCUCCUCCACCAUCCUGCCUGGUGCUUCCCUUCUCCCCCACCACUCCUGGGCUAUCUGGGCAGUUAUCCCCUA